rnacentral:rRNA from 1 species
UUUGGAAUGUUAAUUUGUUUUGUGCCUGAGUAGUAUUAGUUAUGUUCUUGAAAUUAAAGAAUUUGGCGGUAUCUCAUUCCGUCCAGAGGAAUCUGUCUCGUUAUCGAUAGUCCGCGUUGGACCUUACUUAGUUGCUUUGGUUUGUAUACCGCCGUUUAUUUGAUUAUCUUUUUAGAGUUUAUUUAAUUUUCUAGUUUCUUUAUUUUGGUUUAUUUCAGGUCAAGGUGCAGCUUGUUUCUAAGUGAAUGAUGGAUUACAUUGUUAUUUGUUUUGUGGAUUGCUUGCUUGAAUGUGGGUAUGAAAUUGGAUUUGGUUGUAAUUAUUUGUAGAUUGUUGUUAUGAUAAUUGGUUCUGGGAUAUGCACACAUCGCCCGUCGCUCUCGUUGCUGUUAA